rnacentral:lncRNA from 1 species
CACCUCACUUUGGUCCUUCAAUUAUUAGACACUCAUAAAUUCUUUGUUAAGGAAUCAAAAUGUGUGUUUGCCACAACCAGAGUCUCAUACCUAGGUCAUCUUUUGGAAGAAGGCAUAGUGGCUCCAGAUCCGGAUAAAAUAAAGGCUAUCAUACUUUGGCCUAAACCUACAUCCCUUACUACCCUACGUGCGUUUCUGGGUAUUACGGGAUUUUAUCGGAAGUUCAUCCGCAGUUAUGCCACUCUUGCCUCGCCACUCACGGAGUUACUCAAAUCAUCAACAUUUACAUGGAAUACAAAUGCAGAGGAAGCCUUUACAAAAUUGAAAAAUAUCCUAACUACAGCUCCGAUGUUGAAUCUUCUGAAUUUCGCCAUACCGUUCGUGGUAGAAAUCGACGCCUCCAACAUAGCAAUUGGAGUUGUGCUACCCUAAUAAGGUCACCCUAUUGCUUUCUUCAGCAAGAAGCUUUGCCCAAAAAUGCAAACUAGCUCAACAUAUGUCAAGGAAAUGCUAGCUAUAACAGAAGCUGUAAAAAAGUGGCGUCAUUAUCUCAUAGGUACACAUUUCACAGUAAUAACAGACCAACAAAGCUUAAAGGGGUUACUCACCAAUGCAUGCCACACACCGGAACAACAAAAGUGGGCUACCAAGCUGCUUGGAUACAGUUUUGACAUUCGAUACCGCCCAGGCCGCCAAAAUCAAGCUGUUGAUUUCUUGUCCUGGCCACCCCAAUCUCUCCUUUUUGCCAUAUCUUCCCCGAUUCCGAACAUGUUAAAGGAAUUACAGGAUUAUUACGAGACGAAAAGGGGAGAAGAAGAGGUUCACAGAUUAAUUUCAUUACCUGACACCAAUUACAGUUUUCACCACGACCUUCUAUACCAUGCUCAAAGAUUAUACGUUCCUUCCAUAGAGCACAUUCGUUCGGCCAUACUCCAUGAGUUCCAUGCUUCUCCCACCGCCAGCCACUCGGGCAUUAAGGCCACCAUGGCCAGGCUCGCGACCUCUUUUUUCUGGCCUGGUAUGUACCAUGACACCAAAAGGUAUAUCAAGGAAUGCUUACCCUGCCAACAAAACAAAUCAUUACAUCAGAAACCUUUUGGACUACUCCAACCCAUACCCAUACCAACCAAACUGUUGAAAGAACUAACUACAGAUUUCAUCACGCACCUACCUUCAUCUUUAGGGCACAUGGUCAUCUAGGUUGUUUGUGACAGACUCUCCAAAUCAGCCCACUUCAUCGCCCUUCCCACAUCCUUCACAGUCACCCAUUUAGCUUACCGCUUUCUAUUGAAAUUUGCAGGUUACAUGGAGUCCCUAAAUCCAUCAUUUCAGACCGUGAUCCAGUGUUCCAGAGCCGUUUUUGGAAGGAGUUGUUUCAUCUACAAGGCACAAAAUUAAAGUUCAGUACAACAUAUCACCCCCAAAUCGACGGUCAAACCGAAGUUAUAAAUCCCUGUUUAGAAGCUUACCUUAGGUGUUUUACCAGCGAAAACCCCCGAACAUGGUAUCGCUAUCUCUACCUUGCGGAGUUUUGGUACAACUCCUUAUACCACUCGACCAUCAAAACUACACCCUUCCAGGCUCUGUAUGGAUGUUCACCUCCUUCCAUUCCAGAUUACGUUCCAAGAACUGUCGCAUAACCAACACUGGACACCACGCUACAGGAUCGUGCACGAAUGCUGCACCAGUUAAAAGCCACGCUGAAAGCAACACAACAAAGAAUGGCGGAAUCAACAAACAGAUCAAGACGUGAUUACAAUAUUAGGGAAAAGGACUGGAUACUGCUCCGACGACAAGCUUAUCGCCAAACAUCACUCUCUUCCAAGACUCACAAUAAGCUUGGACAAAGGUACUUCGGUCCCUAUCCCGUUAAACGCCGCAUCGGUGAAGUGGCAUAUGAACUUUUCCUUCCUCCGUCAUCACAUAUCCAUCCAGUCUUCCACAUCUCCCUUCUCAAAUCUUAUCACGACCCAACCCCACUGUCGCAUUUCCAAUUCCCUCUCGAAACAGAGAACCCAACAGUACCAACCCAUGACCUCCCAACUCUCUUCCCAAACUAUACUUCACAUUCUGAGACUUCCAAUACUCCUUCUAACUCAUUACACACGAACCCAACUAAAGCACCCACAAAAUUCGCAUCUGCAGACACGUGGAAACCAUCUACGAUCCAC